rnacentral:rRNA from 1 species
GAUGAACGCUAGCGGCAGGCUUAACACAUGCAAGUCGAGGGGCAGCACGGGUAGCAAUACCUGGUGGCGACCGGCGCAAGGGUGCGUAACGCGUGAGCAACAUGCCCUAUACAGGGGGAUAAUCCAGGGAAACUUGGUCUAAUAUCCCAUAGUAUUUAGAGGAGGCAUCUUCUAUAAAUUAAAGCUUCGGUGGUAUAGGAUUGGCUCGCGUGACAUUAGCUAGAUGGUGAGGUAACGGCUCACCAUGGCAAUGAUGUCUAGGGGUUCUGAGAGGAAGGCCCCCCACACUGGGACUGAGACACGGCCCAGACUCCUACGGGAGGCAGCAGUGAGGAAUAUUGGACAAUGGAUGGAAAUCUGAUCCAGCCAUGCCGCGUGCAGGAAGACAGCCCUAUGGGUUGUAAAGCUCUUUUGUCCGGAAAGAAAAGCGCCGGGUUAAUACCCUGGUGUCCUGACGGUACCGGAAGAAUAAGCACCGGCUAACUUCGUG